GGGGGGGGGGGGGGGGGGGGGGGGGGGGGGGGGGGGGGGGGGGGGGGGGGGGGGGGGGGGGGGGCGCUGGGCCGGUAGGGCGAGGGGUGGCAGCCGGGCGGGCGGAGAGAGAUGCGCGCACACCAGUGCGGAGAGCGAGAGAGAGGAUGGAUGGAGCGAUGCACGGAGCCAAGAGGAGGUAGAGACACCCAGCAGGAAAGGGAGAAAGAGAGAGGGAGAGAUGCCCAGAGCUGACGAGAACUGCUCGGUGAUCAGUGGAAAGGGGAGGAGAGAGAGGCAGAAAUGAGAGACAUCUCUCAGGGGAGACGGACACUUGCGAGGGAAGAGCGGGCGAGGGAGGCUGCGACGACGCGCUGAUGUGAUUAACGGGGAUCGAGCUACAGCCCGGAGAGGAGCGGCGCGGCAGCCACAGCGGGAGGCAGGUGGCACCUCCUCAGUCUCGCAGAGCUCCGUGACCGAGCGCAGACAGAGAGGAAAAAGUCACCUGGAAGCCUCUCUCCACCUCCCGCCUUCCCAUCCCGUUUCUCUGGGGAGUCCCAUGCCUGCCGUUAUCUGGGAUGGCAAAGCCUGAGAGCUGGCUCAGAAAAAAAUCGGGGCUCCUUUAUAUGCGCUGUACGUAGGAGGGGAAAAAAAAAAAAAAUCCCGCCCGUGAGGCUGUCAAGGUCCUCAGUAUACAAUUUUCUGUCUAUCUCGGCGCCUCUCACCAAGCCGCCCCCUCCCUUGCAUGUGACGCAGAUGUGCUCUGGGGCCGUCAGUGUGAAGAGACAGAGGGGAAGAGAGAUGCUGCAGGCUUCGUCGUGCAAUUUUCAAGAAAUGGUGGAUGUUUGGACAACUUCGUACUCUUUCUGGAAAUCCUAACAAGAAAAUACACCUCUAGUUGUGCUCUUGGAGAUCUCUGACUGCCA
rnacentral:lncRNA from 12 species